rnacentral:lncRNA from 1 species
UCUAAGUAAGCCAUGGAGAGAGAGGGGGGGGAGGGGAGAGAGGGGGGGGAGAAGGAGUGAAGGAGAGAGAGGGGGAGAGAAGGAGAGAUAGAUAGGGAGACAGUCAGACAAAGAGAGAUAGGGAAACAGCCAGAAAGCGAGAGAGGAGAGAGAGAGAAAGAUAAGGAGAAAGUCAGAGAGAGAGAGAGAGGAGAGAGAAAGAGAGAGAGAGAGAGAUAGGGAGAUGUGGGUAAACAGAUGGUGUUGGAGAUGCCUCAGGACCCACCCAUGGAGGACAGUGGUGGGGUGGGUGGGGGAAGUAAAUGUGGUGUAGAGGGGAAUGUUUUUGUGUGUGUGAGGUGGGAUGUUUAGAGACAGGGAAGGGGACCGAAUCAAGCGAUGGUGAGGGAGACUGGGGUAGGUGGAAGUGGGUGGGUAGAUAUGCGAAGGAGGGCAUGGAGAGUGUGUGAAUAGGCAAACGAGGGGAGAGUGGAGGGGGAUCUGCAUUGGGAGAUGGGAUGGGGGUGAUGUUGGGAAGGUGGGUUGUGGGGUACUUUUUGACAGAGGACGGAUUAUGUCUGUGUGUGGUGGAGGGCAUGGCCGAAAAGGACAUGCUUGUCUGUAUGGAUGGAUGGAUGGUCAUGGUUUUACUCCCCAGGCCACUUCUCUCAGUUUUGUUUCCUCUCCCAGCUGAGAGGUUUCCAUUGCACAAAUUAGUUGGAGACACCCUUUCUGUUGGUACCACAUGAAAAAAAGCACCCAUCAGUGCUGGUGGCACCUAAAAUGCACCCAGCCCACUCUAUGAAAUAAAGUGGUUGGCAUUAGGGAAGGGCAUCCUGCUGUAGAUGCCAUGCCAGAACAGAUAAUGGUACAUGAUGCAGCCCUCUGGCCUUGCCAGCCCCUGUCAAACCAUCCAACCCAUGCCGGAAUGGAAAACCAGAUGUGAAAUGAUAACGAUGACGACAAUGAUGACGACAACGACGACGAUGAUGAGAAUGAUGAUGAUGAUGAUGAUCAAGCUGCUGCUGCUGCUGAUGAUGAUGAUGACGACGAGGAUGAUGAUGAUGAUGGCGAUGAUGACGAUGGUGAUGAAGAUGAUGAUGAUAAUGAUAAUUGAGAUUUUGGCAUGAAAAACAUCGAAGGGCCAUGAAGUAGAGGCCACUGGGUCAAAUAAGGAACUGAGAUUCGGUUUAUCUGAUAUUCCAUACUGUUUCCUUCUUUCUAGCUGUAUGGGGGUGGGUAGGCGAGUGGGGGGUGGGGGGUGGAGAGAUAUUGGAUUGUCAGAAAUCAUUUCAAAACUAAUUCAUAAAAGAAACUUCUUUUCUGUCUUUUACACUUCUUCUUCUUCCUCCUCCUCCUUCUUUUUCUGCUUCCUCUUCUUCUCCUCCUCCUCCUUCUCCUCAUUAUCAUUGUCAUUGCUGACAUCCUUGUUAUCAACAUCAUCAUCAUCGUUAUUUUCAUUCAUUGCCAUCAUCCUCUUCCUCUCCCCUUUCAUCAUCAUCAUUGCACUCAUCAUCAUCAUCAUCACCAUCAGCACUAUCAUUGCCUCUCUCAUCCCAAUUAUCCUCACAGUGAUUGUCAUCAUCAUCAUCCUAAUCGUCGUUCCUCUCCUCUUCCUUGUCAUCGUCAUGACUGCCAUUGUCAUCAUUCCCACCAGCAUCAUCAUCAUUCCCACCAGCACCACCACCAUUGCCACCAUCAUCCUAAUUAUCAUCAUCAUCACCAUCAUUCUCCCCUACCCCUCCUCAUUGUCACAUUAUCCUCACCAAGGAGUAUCCAUUAAUUUGUCAGCCAGGUGUCGAUCUGCCCACCUGUCCAUCUACAGGCUCACCCACCUGCCUCUCCAUCUGUCUGCCCAGCCAUCCAUGCCACUCCCCUCCACCCGUCUGCCUGUUCCCUUGGUUUAUAAAGUUCAGUAAAUCUCUCAGUCAAAAAACUAAACUGUCAGCCUUAAAAAAACCAAUUCUUUUGUACAGCUGUUGUUGUUGCUGCUGCUGCAGUUGUUGUUGUUGCUGUUCUUGUUGCUGUUGUUGUUGUUGUUGUUGCUGCUGCAGCUGCUGCUGCUGCUGUUGCUGUUGUUCUUGUUGUUGUUGCUGUUAUUGCUGCUGUUGUUGUUGGUGUUGUUGCUGCAGCUGCUGCUGCUGUUGUUCUUGUUGUUGUUGCUGCUGUGUUGUUGCCAGUGCUAUUGUUGCCGGUGCUACUGGUGCUGAUGCUGCUGUUGUUGUCGUCGCUGUUACUGAAAAAAAAACACUUGCAAAUAAUCCCUUCACUACCACCACCACACCGCCGCUGCCACUGUUGCCGCCGUUGCUGCUGCCUCCAACCCAUUUUUUUUCCAUUCCGUUUCCUCUCUCAUGCCAAUUCCUCUACCAUUCGCCAUCACCAUCACCACCACCAUCACCAUCAUCACUACCACCACCAUCAUCAUCAGCAUCAUCACCAUAAUUAUCAUCAUCAUCAUCAUCAUCAUCAUCAAUACCUUCAUCAUCAUCACCAUCCGCCAUCACCAUCAGCAUCAUCAUUACCAUCACCAUCAUCAUCACCAUCAUCACCAUCAACACCAUCACCAUCAUGCUGCUGAUGAUGAUGAGGCUCUCCCUGCUGUCGCGUUUCUCUCGCAGAGUUUCUAUUAGCGUCAACCAACAACAACAACAACAACAAGCACAAAUUAUUUAUCUCUCCAUUUAUUUAUUUCUUUAAUCACAUCUGCUGCUGUUGUUGUUGUUAAUGCUGCUGCUGGUGAUGAUGAUGGUGUGUCAACAUCGGUGUCAUCAAUGAUGAUGAUGCUGAUGUCGAUGCGGCAUAAUCGCUGUCAUUGUCACCAGAAUUUCUGUUCUUGUUGAUGACGAUGAUGCUGCUUGUGUCACCGUGGCGUUGUUGUUGUUGUUAUUGGCGCCAACACCAAUAUUACUGUUGAUGAUGAUAGUGAUGCUGUGUCACCCCUAUUACUACUACUACAACUAGUGCUGUUGUGUUACCAUUAUUAUCAUCAUCGUUAUUAGUAUUAUUAUUAUCAUCGUUAUUAUUAUUAGUAGUAGUAGUAGUAGUAUUAUCAUUAUUAGUAUUAUUAUUAUUAUUAGUAUUAUUAUUAUUAGUAGUAGUAUUAGUAUUAUUAUUGUCAUCAUUAUUAUUAUUGUUGUUGUUUUUAUUAUUACUAUUAUUAUUAUUAUUAUUAUUAGUAGUAGUAGUAUUAUUAUCAUUAUUAUUAUCAUUAUUAUCAUUAUUGUUAUCAUUAUUAUUAUUAUCAUUAUUAGUAUUAUUAUUAUCAUUAUUGUUAUCAUUAUUAUAAUUAUCAUUAUUACUAUUAUUAUUAUUAUUAUUAUUAUCAUUAUUGUUGUUAUUAUUACUAUUAUUAUUACUAUUAUUAUUAUUAUUAUUAUUAUUACUAUUACUAUUAUUAUUAUUAUUAUCAUCAUCAUAAUCAUCAUUGCUGCUGUUGAUGAUAAUGAUGCUGAUGGUCUUCCCCUGUCACCGAUAUUGCUGUCGUUGUUGUUGUUGCUGCUGCUGUUGUUCUUUGUGUCACCGUUGUUGCAGUUUUUCACCGAUGCUCGUUGUUGUUGUUGUUGUUGUUGUUGUUGAUGACGACACCAUCAAUACAACACUUGCUGUUGUUGUUGUUGUCAUUAUUGUUGUUGUUAUUGUUGUCAUUACUGCUGCUGCUGCAGUUACCUAUAUCACUGCUGCUGUUGAUGACGAUGAUAACAACACUGCUGUUGAUAACGCUGCUGUGCCACCCCACCCUUCAGGUGGAUCAUAUUACUACCAUCAUCAUCAUUAUUAUUAUCAUUAUUUCAUUGUAUGUAAAUCCCUAUACUUUGUGUCUGUCAUUAUACAGCACCCUCUCCUUCGCCCUGGUGGCAAAUAAACGAAGUCAUCAUCAUCAUCAUCAUCACCACCACCACCAUCGUCACCGUCAUCAUCAUCACCACCACCAUCACCACACCACCACCAUCAUCAUCAUCACCACCACCAUCACCACCACCAUCAUCAUCAUCAUCACCACCACCAUCACCACCAUCAUCAUCAUCAUCACCACCACCACCACCAUCCUCAUCAUCACCACCACCACCAACACCAUCCUCAUCAUCAUCACCACCAUCCUCAUCAUCAUCACCACCACCAUCAUCAUCGUCAUCACCACCACCACCACCACCACCACCACCAUCGUCAUCGUCAUCACCACCACCACCACCACCACCACCACCAUCAUCAUCACCACCACCACCACCACCACCACCACCACCACCACCACCGCCACCAUCCUCAUCACCACCACCACCACCACCAUACCACCAUCACUGCCAUCCUCAUCAUCAUCACCACCACCACCACCACCAAUACCACCACCACCAUCAUCAUCGUCAUUAUUCCUAUCACUGCUGUCACCAAUAUUGUUGUUGUUAUUGUUAUCGCCAUCGUCAUCGGUGCUGCUCCUGCCGUUAUUAGCGUUAUACACAUACCACUACUACCACCACCACCACCACCACUACCACCACUACUACUACUACUACCACUACUACUGCUACACCUACCUUUCAAGCCACAAGUGCAGUUCUUACUUUCAUUCCUAUCUUCCAAUAUCAGAAUCUCCAACUGAUUCUGCGAUGACAAACACUUGUUCCUUUUUUUUUUUAUAAUUUUUUCUUUCGGCAUUGCUUUUUUGUUUUUUUCUUUUUGGUUUGCUUGUUUUGGCGGCGUUGAAACCGCCAAUCGUCUGAGGCUGCCAUAGCGUUGCUGCGCUGUGGUGUUCAUGCUGCACCUCGUUUCAUUACCUGAACCAUUAACACAUUCGUUAGCCACUGUAAUUACUGUUUUAAUAAUUAUUUAUUAAUUGAUUCCAUACCGUCUUUUUUUUGUCUUUUUUUUUUCCUUUUGGUUCUUUCCAUUUUUUUUUUUUUUUGUCUUUUACUAAUCCUGAAAUUUUUUUUUUUUUGACAUUUUGAUUUACAUUUAUUUACCAUAUUCCAUUAAUUCCUCCAUUUAUUCUUGUUAUUGUUGUUCCUGCACUAUUUCAUUUAUUUUAUUUUUUUGUCCUUUUCCAUUUCCUACAUACAAAAAAAAAAAUCUUUUUUUUUUUUUGGUUUUUUAUUUGCCGGCAUUUAUUCUAUAUCCUGUCUAUUGAAAACAAUUUUUACGCGUGUUUUUUUUCUCUUUAUUUUUACCAUUUUUUUCCCCCCUUCAUUGCCACACAAACAGACGCAAAAUCUUAGAAUUCCGCACAUUGCGAGGCUGGAACAAUGUCGAAAAAGUCGAUAAAAGGAGCCUACCCUCUUGAAAAUUAUGGCGCAAUCUCGGAAGAUUUUGACGAUAAAGUCAGGAUUUUGGAUUCACCUGAAGAGG